GAUGGCAUUCCACCUUUGGCUCCAGGAAUGGCUUCAGCAGUGCCCUUACCACCAAGCUGGCCAAAUGAGAGUCAAAACAUUCCGUAUGGUCUUAAGCCAAAGAAAAAGUGGAAUACACCAGUACCGCUGAAAAAAGCGAAUUGGAUAACAAUCCCUCCUCGAAAAAUGAUCGAGAAGUCGUUUUGGAUCAAUGUGGAAGAGGAGAAGUUUGCCAAUGACGAAAUAUUGAGAGAGUUGGAUGAAAAGUUUUUCCCGGUUACUAAGCUGAAACCAGAAAAUGAAGAGAAAAAUAUUUACCCAGUGCAGAACAAAUGGAAAAGCUCAAAGAAUUCAAGGACUCUUAUGAAGAAUUAACAGAGGCGGAACAAUUCUGUUUGAAAAUAUCAGAGAUAGAAAGGCCACUGCCCAGGUUGAAAUCUUUGCAAUUUAUUCACUUUUACCAUGAGAUCAAAAGUGACAUGAAACCUAGUAUUCAAGUAGUUAUAGAUGCUUCUAACGAGGUUAAAAAUAGAACGAAAUUAGCAGAAAUUCUAGAACUGAUACUGCUAUUAGGAAACUACAUGAAUAGUGGUAGCCGGAAUGAACGAGCGUUUGGUUUCGAAAUUAAUUUUCUAAUAAAUCAUUUUCGCUAAUGAAAACGAUCGAUCACUCUCAUCAACAUCUGGUAAACUACUAUGAAGAAAUGCCCCAUAUUGAUGAAGCAUGUCGAGUCUCAUUGAAUACCAUAAAUAAAUCUCUGAAACAGUUAAACGGUAGCAUUGGAAAUGUUGGAAAAAGACAAGCAAACACUUAAGAGACAGGUGAAGCUCCUUUUGCUAGGAGCUGGAGAGAGUUGAAAAUCCACAUUUCUCAAACA